rnacentral:rRNA from 1 species
UACGUAGGGUGCAAGCGUGUCCGGAAUUAUUGGGCGAAAGAGCUCGUAGGCGGUUUGUCGCGUCGAAUGUGAAAACCCGGGGCUCAACCCCGGGCCUGCAUUCGAUACGGGCAGACUAGAGUUCGGUAGGGGGAGUCUGGAAUUCCUGGUGUAGCGGUGAAAUGCGCAGAUAUCAGGAGGAACACCGGUGGCGAAGGCGGGUCUCUGGGCCGAUGACUGACGCUCAGGGACGAAAGCGUGGGGAGCAAACAGG